GUCACGCUGUAAACGAUGUCGAUUUGGAGGUGUUCCCUAGAGGAGUGGCCUCCGAAGCUAACGCGUAAAUCGACCGCCUGGGGAGUACGGCCGCAAGGUUAAAACUCAAAUGAAUUGACGGGGGCCCGCACAAGCGGUGGAGCAUGUGGUUUAAUUCGAUGCAACGCGAAGAACCUUACCUACUCUUGACAUCCAGAGAAUUUAGCAGAGAUGCUUUAGUGCCUUCGGGAACUCUGAGACAGGUGCUGCAUGGCUGUUGUCAGCUCGUGUUGUGAAAUGUUGGGUUAAGUCCCGCAACGAGCGCAACCCUUAUCCUUUGUUGCCAGCACGUUAUGGUGGGAACUCAAAGGAGACUGCCGGUGAUAAACCGGAGGAAGGUGGGGAUGACGUCAAGUCAUCAUGGCCCUUACGAGUAGGGCUACACACGUGCUACAAUGGCGUAUACAAAGAGAAGCGACCUCGCGAGAGCAAGCGGAACUCAUAAAGUACGUCGUAGUCCGGAUUGGAGUCUGCAACUCGACUCCAUGAAGUCGGAAUCGCUAGUAAUCGUAGAUCAGAAUGCUACGGUGAAUACGUUCCCGGGCCUUGUACACACCGCCCGUCACACCAUGGGAGUGGGUUGCAAAAGAAGUAGGUAGCUUAACCUUCGGGAGGGCGCUUACCACUUUGUGAUUCAUGACUGGGGUGAAGUCGUAACAAGGUAACCA
rnacentral:rRNA from 1 species